ACGGGAGGCAGCAGUAGGGAAUCUUCCGCAAUGGACGAAAGUCUGACGGAGCAACGCCGCGUGAGUGAUGAAGGCUUUCGGGUCGUAAAACUCUGUUGUUAGGGAAGAACAAGACGAGAGAACGCUCUCCCUGACGGUCCACCCUCGCAC
rnacentral:rRNA from 1 species